GAGACUUUGAAGCAGUGGCGCCAGCCAUUGUGGAGUCGCCCUUGAAAUACCAGCCUGGUAAUGUUGAGGUUCUAACUUAGCUCCUGAAACGGGAGUGAGGACAGUGUGUGGUGGGUAGUUUGACUGGGGUGGUCGCCUCCAAAAGAGUAACGGAGGCUCCUAAAGGUACCCUCAACACGCUUGGUAACCGUGUGUAGAGUGUAAUGGCAUAAGGGUGCUUGACUGAGAGACCGACAAGUCGACCAGGUAGGAAACUAGAGCAUAGUGAUCCGGUGGUUCCGCAUGGAAGGGCCAUCGCUCAAAGGAUAAAAGGUACUCCGGGGAUAACAGGCUGAUC
rnacentral:rRNA from 1 species